AACGAACGCUGGCGGCAUGCCUAACACAUGCAAGUCGAACGAGACCUUCGGGUCUAGUGGCGCACGGGUGCGUAACGCGUGGGAACCUGCCCUUAGGUUCGGAAUAACUCCCCGAAAGGGGUGCUAAUACCGGAUAAUGUCUUCGGACCAAAGAUUUAUCGCCUUUGGAUGGGCCCGCGUUGGAUUAGCUAGUUGGUAGGGUAAAAGCCUACCAAGGCGACGUUCCAUAGCUGGUCUGAGAGGAUGAUCAGCCACACUGGGACUGAGACACGGCCCAGACUCCUACGGGAGGCAGCAGUGGGGAAUAUUAGACAAUGGACGAAAGCCUGAUCCAGCAAUGCCGCGUGAGUGAUGAAGGCCUUAGGGUUGUAAAGCUCUUUUACCCGGGAUGAUAAUGACAGUACCGGGAGAAUAAGCUCCGGCUAACUCCGUG
rnacentral:rRNA from 1 species